AGACUCAAUCCCUCGGGUUUCCGAGGAGAUUGGACUUGGGUGUUGCCGCUCUGCCGGCUCGCCUUAAAAGACUUAGCGGGAUAGCACCGUAGUCGGCGUAAUAAGUUUCGUCGGUGAAGGUUGUGAUGACUGCUUACAAUCGCCCUCGGGCAAUUUUUGACU
rnacentral:misc_RNA from 1 species